rnacentral:tRNA from 1 species
GCUCCUGUAGCUCAGUUGGUAGAGCAUUAACCUAGAUAGCGAAAGGCCCCCAGUUUAAGUCUGGGUGGAGGCA